CUACGGGGCGCUGCAGUGAGGAAUAUUGCACAAUGGGGGGAACCCUGAUGCAGCAACGCCGCGUGGAGGAUGACGCAUUUCGGUGUGUAAACUCCUUUUAUAUGUCAAGAAAAUGACGGUAGCAUAUGAAUAAGCACCGGCUAACUCCGUGCCAGCAGCCGCGGUAAUACGGAGGGUGCAAGCGUUACUCGGAAUCACUGGGCGUAAAGGACGCGUAGGCGGGUUGGAAAGUCAGGUGUGAAAUCCUAUAGCUUAGCUGUAGAACUGCACUUGAAACUUCUAAUCUAGAGUAUGGGAGGGGGAGAUGGAAUUAGUGGUGUAGGGGUAAAAUCCGUAGAUAUCACUAGGAAUACCUAAAGCGAAGGCGAUCUCCUGGAACAUUACUGACGCUAAGGCGUGAAAGCGUGGGGAGCAAACAGGAUUAGAUACCCCCGUAGUC
rnacentral:rRNA from 1 species